GGUUUAAUUCGAUGAUACGCGAGGAACCUUACCCGGGCUUGAAUUGCAGAGGAAGGAUUUGGAGACAAUGACGCCCUUCGGGGCCUCUGUGAAGGUGCUGCAUGGUUGUCGUCAGCUCGUGCCGUGAGGUGUCGGCUUAAGUGCCAUAACGAGCGCAACCCCUCUCCUUAGUUGCCAUCAGGUCAAGCUGGGCACUCUGGGGACACUGCCACCGUAAGGUGUGA
rnacentral:rRNA from 1 species